AUACGGAGGGGACUAGCGUUGUUCGGAAUUACUGGGCGUAAAGAGUUCGUAGGCGGACUGAUAAGUAAGAGGUGAAAUCCCAGGGCUCAACCCUGGAACUGCCUUUUAAACUGUCAGUCUAGAGACCGGAAGAGGUUAGGGGAAUACCUAGUGUAGAGGUGAAAUUCGUAGAUAUUAGGUGGAACACCAGUGGCGAAGGCGCCUAACUGGUCCGGUACUGACGCUGAGGAACGAAAGCGUGGGGAGCAAACAGGAUUAGAUACCCUAGUAGUCC
rnacentral:rRNA from 1 species